GCAUAUUUGCGCAAGGCAUAUCUGUAUCUGCAGAAAGGGAUAGGGUCCUUCAAGAUCUUCAGGAUGCCUUCGCUAAUCAUGAUAAAGAACUCAAAGAAAGAUAGGAACCUUCACUAAGGCAGUGAAUCUGGCAUUGGAGUGUUUGAAACUCUGAAAAAUCCCAUGAACGUCCUUGCUUUAGCAAAAACAAAAAACAAAUAAAUAAAAACCCACUUUCAGGAGCUCUUUCACAGUUUCUCUAACCAAUUGAUCACAAAAUCCAAAUUGAGCAAAUAUGCGUCAGUUUGUAUUUUGUGAUCAAUUGGUUAGAUAAACUGUGAAAGAGCUCUUGAAAGUAGGUUUUUAUAUUCGUUUUUUUUUUUUUUUUUUUUGCUAAAGCAAGGACAUUUAUGGGAUUUAGUUGUAUUUGACAUAAAUAAGGUGUUUUUGACUUCAGUCGUACUUGCUCAACGUUCUACUUCAGCGUUGGUUCUACUUCAGUUCAUGGACUACAACAAGUGUAUUCAUGGUGUCCCUCGUAUUUUAAAGGGCUUCUGCUGUGUUUGCACUUGGUACCUUGCUUGAUAUGGGGGGUGAGUCGUGUAGAGAUGGUGUUGGUGUAGAUGAAGAUUGUGAUGAUGAUGAUACUGAGCAUGGACAGCUAAGUCCGCAAGAGCUGAAGACUGUCGAUGCCAUUGUUGAAGCUAGCAAGUUGUUGGCUUCUGUGUUGAGGCUUGUGUGGGAAUAUUCUGGCCGUCCAUUAUGAAAAUGAGGUCCCAGUACAUUCCUGAGGAGGCCAGGAGCACCAUCAUGAACUUCUUCUGCAUUCCUCUCAAUAUUUUUGUGUGCAUUGUGUUGUACAAUGUUAAUGCGUUCCCCGUCACGGUUAUGUUUGGCAUGUGCUCAAUUUUCCUCUUUGUAGCAUGUUUGUUGCAGAGGCGGCUCAUGGUGAUAGCAGAAAAGCCAAAGACACAAGACUGGACAUCAUUGAAGGAAAAAGAUACCGAGGCAGACCCAUUAAACAUCUAAUUGAUUUUGAGCAACAGAACUAGGAAUUUUCGAGCGGUCGAAAGCGGCUGAUUGAGGGUGUAUUCAUUUUAUAGUGAUGGCUACGUUAUGUAAAGAUAGUGCUCCACCCAGAUAGUGUAUUCAUCUUAUCUUAGGUGUUCAAUUCAAUGUUGAUGUCAUUAUUUUUCAUGUACAAAAUUUUUAUUAUAAGUGGAAGGGAGAUCACAAUUCUCCCUUGUGGUAUGCCUUAUCAAACAUUGACAAGUUUCAUACAACCAAUCAUAUAUCAUAUAUAAUUAUAAAUCGCUCAAUCAAGAGCACUUU